rnacentral:rRNA from 2 species
ACAAUGGAGAGUUUGAUCCUGGCUCAGGAUGAACGCUAGCGGCAGGCCUAAUACAUGCAAGUCGAACGGAUGUAGCAAUACAUUAGUGGCGCACGGGUGCGUAACGCGUAACCAACCUACCGACAACUGGGGGAUAGCCCGCCGAAAGGCGGAUUAAUA